rnacentral:lncRNA from 1 species
CACAGUUUGCAGGGGCCGGUCAGGGACUCAGGAACCCCAGCAGUGUCCUCCUGUGUUUUGAGGGGCCCCGGAAUGUGUCUGAAAUGGCAUUCCUCAGAGUGACAUGGAUUCUGUCGCCGUGGUGACCUGGAACAACCAUAUUGUAACCAGAACUAUCAUCAUGCUUAGCUAGUGAACUGUUCGGUUGGAUUUCAUCCUUGGGAAGCGGGGGCUGUUCUCCUCCCGGAGGCUCCUGUGCAAACUGAGGCCUCAGGAGCUUCGUGGUAUCUAGUGGAAGCAGGACGCGAUCCAUCGGGUGGGGGUGGGAUGGGCCACACUGCAGGCCAGGGUCAGCACCCAGGGCCAGGGAGCCACGGGGGCAGGGUCCUCCUUUGCGUGUGUGUGGGGGCGCUGUGCUGGGCCACGCGGGCUGUUGAGCGGCGCCCCUGGUCUCUGUGCUCCGGCGGCAUAGCACCCCUCCUCCUCCGGCCCGCUCCCCAGUUGGGACACCUAGUGUCUCUAGACCCCGCCCCGUAUCUCCAGGAGGGAGACCUUCCCUGUGUGGAUGGCUGUCUUAGGUGGACCACUGCUUUUGGGGACCGAUCUGGGGAUUUCGAAGGCCUUGGUGGGGACCGAGGUCUCAGCUCUUGCUGCCAAGGGUCCCGGUGUCGGGUGCUGCUUCGUCUGCCCUUGCGGAACCACGUGACAACCCAUGCCUACCUCUGGGGUGACAGCCCGGGCACCCAGUCAGUCCCUAUGGCGCUGGUGUUGCACACGGUGACUCUCGUGAUGAGCGGGCGCCCCCAUCGUCCCCCAGCCCUGAAGGGACCCUGGGACGAAUGUGGCGGGCCUGUGUCCACAGAGCAUGCACUCCAGGACAGGCGAUGCCCGUGCUUUCCUCACCUGGGCUUGGCCAUUCAGUGGCCGAAAGGCUCCGAUUCCUUCACCUUCCCCCCGUCACCCUUUGGCGCCUUCACCCAAGAAGGCACAGAGAGAAGGGGGGCCUGGGGCUGCUGCGCGGGGGGUCCAUCUCCAUCC